rnacentral:rRNA from 1 species
UACGGAGGGUGCAAGCGUUGUCCGGAAUCACUGGGCGUAAAGGGCGCGUAGGCGGCUCGGUAAGUAGGGGGUGAAAUCCUGCGGCUUAACCGCAGGGCUGCCUUCUAAACUGUCGAGCUCGAGCACGGUAGAGGCAGAUGGAAUUCCCGGUGUAGCGGUGAAAUGCGCAGAUAUCAGGAAGAACACCCGUGGCGAAGGCGGCUCUCUGGAACGCAACUGACGCUGAGACGCGAAAGCGUGGGGAGCAAACAGG